AACGAACGCUGGCGGCAUGCCUAACACAUGCAAGUCGAACGGGAUCCUAGCUUGCUAGGUGAGAGUGGCGGACGGGUGAGUAACACGUGGGAAUCUGUCCUUUUGGUUCGGGAUAACCGCGGGAAACUGCGGCUAAUACCGAAUGCCCUCGAGAGAGGAAAGAUUUAUCGCCAGAAGAGGAGCCCGCGUCCGAUUAGGUAGUUGGGUGGGGUAAAGGCCUACCAAGCCGACGAUCGGUAGCUGGUCUGAGAGGAUGAUCAGCCACACUGGGACUGAGAUACGGCCCAGACUCCUACGGGAGGCAGCAGUGGGGAAUAUUGGACAAUGGGGGCAACCCUGAUCCAGCAAUGCCGCGUGAGUGAUGAAGGCCUUA
rnacentral:rRNA from 1 species